GCUUGUGGGACAAGACACUAUUCAAAGGAAUGGGAGACACACUGAUCCAGAAGUUCCAACACUGUGAUCUGCAACGAACUGGGCUUCAGUGAUCAACAGUCUCCUCAAGACUUAAUCUGUUGGGAAUUUUAUGUGCCCAUGGUCGGCUUCAUCUGUCUUCCAGACAGAGUGAUAAAAAGUGGAAUCACAGCUAAUGGAGUCCCAUGCAGUCUGAAAAACUGAAAGCCUUUGAUACAGGAAAUGAGAAAAGCCGUCUGUUUUCAUUCCAGGAGUUGGAAGAUGAAGAUAAUGUCAAUGCAGCUAACUGCUAAUGCAGUGAAAGGUUAUGAUGAAAAUGGUUUUGAUAAAAUAAAACUCUUGAUGCCUAGUGUGCUGCCAAUCUCUAGCAUCUUUGGAAGUUACAUCUAUCAGCGUGGAAUUCUCACCUGA
rnacentral:lncRNA from 1 species